rnacentral:rRNA from 1 species
GCUUAACGCGAAGAACCUUACCCACCUUUGACAUGUACGGAAUUUGCCAGAGAUGGCUUAGUGCUCGAAAGAGAACCGUAACACAGGUGCUGCAUGGCUGUCGUCAGCUCGUGUCGUGAGAUGUUGGGUUAAGUCCCGCAACGAGCGCAACCCUUGUCAUUAGUUGCUACGAAAGGGCACUCUAAUGAGACUGCCGGUGACAAACCGGAGGAAGGUGGGGAUGACGUCAAGUCCUCAUGGCCCUUAUAGGUGGGGCUACACACGUCAUACAAUGGCCGGUACAAAGGGCAGCCAACCCGCGAGGGGGAGCCAAUCCCAAAAACGCCGGCCUCAGUACGGAUAAGAGUCUGCAACUCGACUCUUUGAAGGCGGAAUCGCUAGUAAUCCCUGAUCAGCAUAGCA